rnacentral:misc_RNA from 1 species
AGGGAGAGUAAAAGUGAUAGGAAAUGGUCAAAUGUUUUCAAAGUUGAGAAAAGAGAGAAAUAAAGUGCCAUGGCUGUGGAAAGUACGGCCACGUGAUAAAAAAUUGCACGAAUACAUGCAGAGGCGGAAUCAAUGGAGGAGCGCAAUGGCAAGGAGGUGCGUAUCAGUCAUAGCAGAAUAGGGGUCGCGGCGGACGAGGUUCUGGCCACAGAAGACGAGGAUAUGUUCAGCGUGGAUUUGGUCAACGAGGACGAAGCAGAGGUUGGCAGCAACGCUACAAUGGGGCAAGUCGACAAGAGGCAAAUUAUUUAAACAGCCAGGACUACGACG